rnacentral:ncRNA from 1 species
CCGUUCUCAACGGGGUGCUGAAUUAUGGCUGAGAAAAUACCCGUCGAACCUGAUCCGGAUAACGCCGGCGAAGGGAUUUGAGGCCCACUCAAAA